AAAAUAAUCAGACUGGUAAGUGCAAACUUUUGUUGUGGUCUGUCUCAUAAACAAGUUAUGUGGUGAACACAAAGUCAGAUGCUGAUCCUUGCAGUGUCUGUUAAGUGCUGGCUUGUAGGAUUUUGUGGAAGGCAGGCUUGUAGGUAAGUUGAGCUCUCGGCCUGCUGGAAUCAGCUAGGGUUUUAGCUUCAUCUUCACCACCUCAGUUUGAGGCCAACCUUGGAACAAGAGCCUAUUACUGAGAUUGUAUUGGGGGUAAGCUGUUCUCAUGCCUUUAUCUUCUGCAGAGGCCUCACGAUGUGCUGAGGCUGCUUGGAGGAGGCUGGAAAGUGCCCCUGUUACCUGGGCAAUUUGUGAGCUUCGCGUUACAGAGUGAUGUGUCCUGGGCUUUCUUCAGCACAUGUUUGAGGGGAAGGAGAGUCUCACACAAAUUAGAAAAUUAAAGAUUUUAGUAUGGAAGGAAGCCAAAGGACCCAUCUGGAUCCAUCCUUUCUGAGUUAUGGCUCCUGUUUACAACUGCUCUGUAAAAAGAAGUCUAGAACUCAGUCUUUAAACUUCAGUCUGGAGCUACCAACAUCUACAGCAAUCUGGUCGUGCCUUCUCUUAUGUGGCAUUGCACUGAUGGCUGUUGCCACUGAAGGGAAGGAGAUUUCAUAAAGGCAUUGUUGAAGAAAGUUACAUCCUUCCCACCCAUGUCAACUUCCAUUAAGUCAACCCAAUUACUUCAGUGAUGUGAGUCCUCAGUGGCAGAACACAACCUG
rnacentral:lncRNA from 1 species